rnacentral:rRNA from 1 species
UACGAACUGUGCGAACGUUAUUCGGAAUCACUGGGCUUACAGGGUGCGUAGGCGGCUUGUUAAGUAGGGUGUGAAAGCCCCCGGCUCAACCGGGGAAUUGCGCCCUAAACUGGCGAGCUGGAGUGAGAUAGGGGUGUGUGGAACUUCCGGUGGAGCGGUGAAAUGCGUAGAUAUCUGGAGGAACACCGGUGGCGAAGGCGGCAUCCUGGACCGAGAUUGACGCUGAUGCGCGAAAGCCAGGGGAGCAAACGGG